GAAUUGAAUUCUUAUAAAAUUCUACAUUCCAAAUAAAGGGUAAAAUUUUUGCAUAGUCCCUAAUUCUCUCUAAUCACUCCCACAUACAAUUUCAUUUGCUAACAAAUAUAAAACCCUCAUGACAAACCUCACUUGACACCUAACACUGACUGUGAUUUGUCCCUUGACACAACCAAAAGAUUUCUUUCAGUAAACAAAAAAUAAAAAUGUAGAUGUCAGAUACUGAUGGGAAAAAAAUGUGUAGAUGAAUGAGACAAACCCAGAAAAUUUUAAAGAGAGAAGGCUUAAAAGAAAUCUAAAGAGGGUUCCGUCUUCUUUUUAAGUUUGCGUUGAUCAUCAGUUCAUUUAGGCAUUGAGAUCAUGGUUUCAAAUAAUGGGCCGUUAUUUACAGGUUUUGAAAGGGGCUGUUACGAGUGAGGCCAUGAUUUACAAGCAAACAGGUACUUGCAGGUGUAACGGCCAUUAUGGUCAUUACAUAAGGGUAACGGCUGUUACCAACCGUUAACUAAUGGUAGCGGCUGUUACUUUGAAGAUUUCUUUGCUAUUUUUUCACAUGUGCACAGUACUUUGGUGCCCUUUUUCUUGUCUCUACUAUUUAAUAUCUUUAUUUGAUGUAUUAUGCUUACUAUAUAGUUGUGUAUCUUAGUUUUACUUGUACUUACCAAGCAAAUUUUUCAAAAAAAAAUUGCAUAGCAUCAGGUCGCUACCGUUAGGUUUAAGCCGUUAUAGGCCUGUUUUCGUUAUCCGCAACCGCAACUGCGACCGCGAUUUGAAACCACGAUUGAGAUCAGCCGAAUAUUAGUUCUCAAAAGUCAAAACUUGUCUAAGAAAGAGAUAAGAGUUUGCAAUGACAUACUUUAUCUAGAAGUACAUGCCUCAACAUCAACAGUGUUAAAGCAAGCAUAAGUAUUGAUUAAAUAAAGACAAUG
rnacentral:misc_RNA from 1 species